rnacentral:rRNA from 1 species
CUUUGCGACUUAGUGGCGGACGGGUGAGUAACGCGUGGGUAACCUGCCUCACACAGGGGGAUAACAGUUGGAAACGACCGCUAAUACCGCAUAACCCGCUAGGGCCGCAUGGCCCGGACGGAAAAGAUUUAUCGGUGUGAGAUGGACCCGCGUUGGAUUAGCUAGUUGGCAGGGUAACGGCCUACCAAGGCGACGAUCCAUAGCCGGCCUGAGAGGGUGAACGGCCACAUUGGGACUGAGACACGGCCCAA